AAAUUGAAGAGUUUGAUCAUGGCUCAGAUUGAACGCUGGCGGCAGGCCUAACACAUGCAAGUCGAGCGGAAACGAGUUAACUGAACCUUCGGGGAACGUUAACGGCGUCGAGCGGCGGACGGGUGAGUAAUGCCUAGGAAAUUGCCCUGAUGUGGGGGAUAACCAUUGGAAACGAUGGCUAAUACCGCAUGAUGCCUACGGGCCAAAGAGGGGGACCUUCGGGCCUCUCGCGUCAGGAUAUGCCUAGGUGGGAUUAGCUAGUUGGUGAGGUAAGGGCUCACCAAGGCGACGAUCCCUAGCUGGUCUGAGAGGAUGAUCAGCCACACUGGAACUGAGACACGGUCCAGACUCCUACGGGAGGCAGCAGUGGGGAAUAUUGCACAAUGGGCGCAAGCCUGAUGCAGCCAUGCCGCGUGUGUGAAGAAGGCCUUCGGGUUGUAAAGCACUUUCAGUCGUGAGGAAGGUAGUGUAGUUAAUAGCUGCAUUAUUUGACGUUAGCGACAGAAGAAGCACCGGCUAACUCCGUGCCAGCAGCCGCGGUAAUACGGAGGGUGCGAGCGUUAAUCGGAAUUACUGGGCGUAAAGCGCAUGCAGGUGGUUUGUUAAGUCAGAUGUGAAAGCCCGGGGCUCAACCUCGGAAUAGCAUUUGAAACUGGCAGACUAGAGUACUGUAGAGGGGGGUAGAAUUUCAGGUGUAGCGGUGAAAUGCGUAGAGAUCUGAAGGAAUACCGGUGGCGAAGGCGGCCCCCUGGACAGAUACUGACACUCAGAUGCGAAAGCGUGGGGAGCAAACAGGAUUAGAUACCCUGGUAGUCCACGCCGUAAACGAUGUCUACUUGGAGGUUGUGGCCUUGAGCCGUGGCUUUCGGAGCUAACGCGUUAAGUAGACCGCCUGGGGAGUACGGUCGCAAGAUUAAAACUCAAAUGAAUUGACGGGGGCCCGCACAAGCGGUGGAGCAUGUGGUUUAAUUCGAUGCAACGCGAAGAACCUUACCUACUCUUGACAUCCAGAGAAUUUUCCAGAGAUGGAUUAGUGCCUUCGGGAACUCUGAGACAGGUGCUGCAUGGCUGUCGUCAGCUCGUGUUGUGAAAUGUUGGGUUAAGUCCCGCAACGAGCGCAACCCUUAUCCUUGUUUGCCAGCGAGUAAUGUCGGGAACUCCAGGGAGACUGCCGGUGAUAAACCGGAGGAAGGUGGGGACGACGUCAAGUCAUCAUGGCCCUUACGAGUAGGGCUACACACGUGCUACAAUGGCGCAUACAGAGGGCGGCCAACUUGCGAAAGUGAGCGAAUCCCAAAAAGUGCGUCGUAGUCCGGAUUGGAGUCUGCAACUCGACUCCAUGAAGUCGGAAUCGCUAGUAAUCGUGGAUCAGAAUGCCACGGUGAAUACGUUCCCGGGCCUUGUACACACCGCCCGUCACACCAUGGGAGUGGGCUGCAAAAGAAGUAGGUAGUUUAACCUUCGGGGGGACGCUUACCACUUUGUGGUUCAUGACUGGGGUGAAGUCGUAACAAGGUAGCGCUAGGGGAACCUGGCGCUGGAUCACCUCCUUA
rnacentral:rRNA from 1 species